CCAACCGGCAUCUUCUCCAUUUCCAGCCAGGUGUUCACUGGCUUCUCCCACAUCGACGUGACCUUCCUGCAUCCACACCUAUAUGCAGAGUGCAGAAGUUGCAGGCUGCAAGCUAAUGGGAAACCUGGUAUCUCAUGCUAGAAGAAUAAAAAAGGUGAGGAAGAAACUUCUGAAAGAUCCAGAUCAGCAGUGCUUGUUUUGACAUUUUGUGGUAUCGCUAUGAGAAGAAUAUUUUCUAAUUGUCUCCACUCAGUUGGUUUUGAUAUUUUAUUUACUGGCAGCUCUAUACUGCUUCCCAUCCAAAGCAAUUCCAAAUAUUUGAUAUAGACAUGAGUGGACAUUUUGCAUUACACAACAGAAUUAUUGCUAAAGACGAUGCUGGCUGAAAGUUAUUUGUUAUCAUUCAUGGAAGAACCGAAGGCAUAUAAAAUAUGGUAGGUAGAAGCAGAGUGCUUUAAUAGGGAAGCAUUCUUGAUACCCAUCUUAAUGUCUUUUUGAUUUCAAUAAAAAAGCAUUCCUGUCUCUCCA